CUGCAGCUAGUUAACCACCUCCCUGCUGGGGGCUCAGUGUGCAAUGGUUGCAAAAUGGAGAUUCCCUGGUUGUGUAUACACCUCAUUUCUUGAAUGUGUUGCUUUAAGGGUUCUUGAAGACAUUA
ensembl:snoRNA SNORA70 Small nucleolar RNA SNORA70